rnacentral:rRNA from 1 species
CCCUGUGAACAUACCACUUGUUGCCUCGGCGGAUCAGCCCGCUCCCGGUAAAACGGGACGGCCCGCCAGAGGACCCCUAAACUCUGUUUCUAUAUGUAACUUCUGAGUAAAACCAUAAAUAAAUCAAAACUUUCAACAACGGAUCUCUUGGUUCUGGCAUCGAUGAAGAACGCAGCAAAAUGCGAUAAGUAAUGUGAAUUGCAGAAUUCAGUGAAUCAUCGAAUCUUUGAACGCACAUUGCGCCCGCCAGUAUUCUGGCGGGCAUGCCUGUUCGAGCGUCAUUUCAACCCUCAAGCACAGCUUGGUGUUGGGACUCGCGUUAAUUCGCGUUCCCCAAAUUGAUUGGCGGUCACGUCGAGCUUCCAUAGCGUAGUAGUAAAACCCUCGUUACUGGUAAUCGUCGCGGCCACGCCGUUAAACCCCAACUUCUGAAUGUUGACCUCGGAUCAGGUAGGAAUACCCGC